rnacentral:rRNA from 1 species
GACGAACGCUGGCGGCGUGCUUAACACAUGCAAGUCGAACGGAAAGGCCCUGCUUUUGUGGGGUGCUCGAGUGGCGAACGUGUGAGUAACACGUGAGUAACCUGCCCUUGACUUUGGGAUAACUUCAGGAAACUGGGGCUAAUACCUGAUAGGAGCUCCUGCUGCAUGGUGGGGGUUGGAAAGUUUCGGCGGUUGGGGAUGGACUCGCGGCUUAUCAGCUUGUUGGUGGGGUAGUGGCUUACCAAGGCUUUGACGGGUAGCCGGCCUGAGAGGGUGACCGGCCACAUUGGGACUGAGAUACGGCCCAGACUCCUACGGGAGGCAGCAGUGGGGAAUAUUGCACAAUGGGCGGAAGCCUGAUGCAGCAACGCCGCGUGCGGGAUGAAGGCCUUCGGGUUGUAAACCGCUUUCGCCUGUGACGAAGCGUGAGUGACGGUAAUGGGUAAAGAAGCACCGGCUAACUACGUG